ACUUUACAAGAGUUCAGUGAUCUUGAACUUCCUAUUCCACUUACCCACAUUAAGGUUGUGUUGGUUAGUGUCAGUGGGAAAAACUUACCCUAAAAUGUAAAAUAUUAGUAAUGAGUCAACCUCAAAGGGUUUACAAUGAGUUUGAAUAACUAUUCGGUGUUCAAAGUCUUUGGGGAUCUUAAUUAAAUGUCUACAAUCUCCUAGAACAGACCACAAACUUAGAGAGAACUGGCUUUUUUCCAGGAUUGUCUCAGCAUCUUCUUGUUCCUAUCAGAAAGUUAAUUUCUAAAUUCCCAUGGCCCUUAAAUUUAAUAUCUUUUCCAUUUAUCCUCAGUGGAUGUUCCUUUUCUGCUGACUUAGUAAAGUUGAAGGAAAAUUGAUAUAUGCAGAAGAUAUACAGUAGUAGGAAGAACGGUGAAAAUCAGAUACCAAAGAGGCUCCACACAGAAGAGGUACCAUGCGGUGUUCGUCUUGGUCUGAUUAUUGUGCAGCAUAAUGGCCUCAGGAAUAUGAGCACAACAUAAAACAAGAGGCACCUAGAGUAUAGCAAAGAGCAACAUUUUUAAGUCAAAAGUCAAAAUCUUGGUCUCACCCUUAUACCUGAUAAGUUUCUAAAUCGAAGUGAUUAGUUUGCUAACUAAUAUUAACCUAAUUUUAUAAACUAGAAGCUAAUAUCUACCUGUCCAGCCUAUUGCACAGGGACAAACAUAAUGAGGUUAUGUAAGUCAGACGACAAACAUAUUUUGAGCAAUGUUAUCAUCCAAGACAGUGUUAUCUUUAUUUAUAAUCUGCCAAUGUUAUAGGGAAAUAGCUUAUUAAACAAUUACGCCCUGUUUUAAACUCUGAAUCACACGGGCCCUCGAUCGCAUAACCACCAGAUCCAGAGGACAAACCAUGGAAGUCAUCAUGCUUGGAUUUAUGCCUGAUAACCUUAUUCUCCUCUUUCAUUUACAACUUUUCUUUGAAUAAUUACUAAAUUUGUUAGGAUUUCUUUUUUUAACACUUCAGGUUCUGGCUUUUAAAGUUAAAUUCUGAGGAGAAAAAAUCUCAAGGAAUAUUUGUGGGUUUUUUUUGUUUUGUUUGUUUUACUUUUUUGCUA
rnacentral:lncRNA from 12 species